UCUGGUUGAUCCUGCCAGUAGUCAUAUGCUUGUCUCAAAGAUUAAGCCAUGCAUGUCUAAGUAUAAAUAGUAUACAGUGAAACUGCGAAUGGCUCAUUAAAACAGUUAUAGUUUAUUUGAUAAUUGACAAUUACAUGGAUAACCGUGGUAAUUCUAGAGCUAAUACAUGCUUAAACGCCCGACUUUAUGGAAGGGUGGUAUUUAUUAGACUGAAGCCAAUAUUCCUUGUGUCUAUUGCGGUGAUUCAUAAUAACUGAUCGAAUCUCUUUUUGAGAUAAAUCAUUCAAGUUUCUGCCCUAUCAGCUUUCGAUGGUAGUGUAUUGGACUACCAUGGCAGUAACGGGUAACGAAGAAUUAGGGUUCGAUUUCGGAGAGGGAGCAUGAGAAACGGCUACCACAUCUAAGGAAGGCAGCAGGCGCGUAAAUUACCCAAUCCUGACUCAGGGAGGUAGUGACAAGAAAUAGCAAACCGGGAACCUCAUGGUUUCACGGUAUUGCAAUGAGAACAAUUUAAAACCCUUAGCGAGAAUCAAGUGGAGGACAAGUCUGGUGCCAGCACCCGCGGUAAUUCCAGCUCCACUAGCGUAUAUUAAAGUUGUUGCAGUUAAAAAGCUCGUAGUUGAACCUCUGUCUGGGGCUAGUUUUGGCUUUGGUCAGGCUAGUUCUAGGCAUCCGCCUACAAGACUUAGAGGGCAUUCAGUUGUUCACUAGGAGGAGUAGGCAUUUUACUUUGAAAAAAUUAGAGUGUUUAAGGCAGGCAAUCGCCCGCAUAUAUUAGCAUGGAAUAAUAGAAUAGGACACUUUUCCAUUUCGUUGGUUAUUGGAAUCGUGUAAUGAUUAAUAGGGACAGUUGUGGGCAUUUGUAUUUAAUUGUCAGAGGUGAAAUUCUUGGAUUUAUUAAAGACAAACUAACGCGAAAGCAUUUGCCAAGGAUGUUUUCAUUAAUCAAGAACGAAAGUUAGGGGAUCAAAGACGAUCAGAUACCGUCCUAGUCUUAACUAUAAACUAUUCCGACUCAAUGUUUGACUGGCUUAUAUAACCAGUUGAGCGUUGUAUGAGAAAUCAAAGUCUUUAGGUUCUGGGGGGAGUAUGGUUGCAAAGCUGAAACUUAAAGGAAUUGACGGAAGAGCACAACCAGGAGUGGAUUCUGCGGCUUAAUUUGACUCAACACGGGGAAACUUACCAGGUUAAAACAAUAGUGGGAUUGACAGUUUGAGAGCGCUUUCUUGAUUGGUUGGGUGGUGGUGCAUGGCCGUUCUUAGUUGGUGGAGUGAUUUGUCUGCUUAAUUGCGUUAACGAACGAGACCUUAACCUGCUUACUAGACU
rnacentral:rRNA from 1 species